GGUAAGAUGGCCGAAUUUAGGUGGUGGUUUGUAAUUCCAUUUAUGGGGAGCAGCCCCCUCUUUCC
rnacentral:tRNA from 1 species